rnacentral:rRNA from 1 species
AUUGAACGCUGGCGGCAUGCUUUACACAUGCAAGUCGAACGGUAACAGGCCUUCGGGUGCUGACGAGUGGCGAACGGGUGAGUAAUGCAUCGGAACGUACCCAGAGGUGGGGGAUAACGCAGCGAAAGCUGUGCUAAUACCGCAUGUGAUCUGAGGAUGAAAGCGGGGGACCGAGCAGCAAUGUUUGGCCUCGCGCCUUUGGAGCGGCCGAUGUCGGAUUAGCUAGUUGGUGGGGUAAAGGCCUACCAAGGCGACGAUCCGUAGCUGGUCUGAGAGGACGACCAGCAACACUGGGACUGAGACACGGCGCAGACUCCUGCGGGAGGCAGCAGUGGGGAAUUUUGGACAAUGGGCGCAAGCCUGAUCCAGCAAUGCCGCGUGCGGGAAGAAGGCCUUCGGGUUGUAAACCGCUUUUGGCAGGAACGAAACGGUGUCCGCUAAUACCGGGCGCUAAUGACGGUACCUGCAGAAUAAGCACCGGCUAACUACGUG